rnacentral:piRNA from 1 species
UGGGUGUCUGGUUUGAUGCCUGGGUCCAGUU